AACGAACGCUGGCGGCAUGCCUAACACAUGCAAGUCGAACGAUUGCCUUCGGGUGAUAGUGGCGCACGGGUGCGUAACGCGUGGGAAUCUGCCCUUAGGUUCGGAAUAACAGCUGGAAACGGCUGCUCAUACCGGAUGAUAUCGCGAGAUCAAAGAUUUAUCGCCUGAGGAUGUGCCCGAGUUGGAUUAGGUAGUUGGUGGGGUAAAGGCCUACCAAGCCGACGAUCCAUAGCUGGGCUGAGAGGAUGAGCAGCCACACUGGGACUGAGACACGGCCCAGACUCCUACGGGAGGCAGGAGUGGGGGAUAGUGGAAAAUGGGCGCAAGGAUGAUCCAGCAAGGCCGGGAGAGUGAUGAAGGCCCUAGGGAUGUAAAGCUCUUUUACCCGGGAAGAUAAUGACGGUACCGGGAGAAUAAGCCCCGGCUAACUACGUG
rnacentral:rRNA from 1 species